CAAACGGUCCUUUUAAGGACCAUAAUAUAAUUACGAAUAAGAUUAAU
rfam:Sarcoptes scabiei Contig12031, whole genome shotgun sequence.